AACUAUUACAGGAACUGAGAUUGUACACCAUUUAUACAGAAAUGUUGUUCUUUGUUUAUCCAGGAACUGAACAUUGCUGAUAUUGAUUGGGAAAGCAGUGGAUUGGCUCCUGAUGAAAGUGUUGGUGUUAAUGUUCUACUGUAGAAUGUCCUCUUACACCAGAGCAACUUGCAGCACUGAAGGACACAGUGGAUCCAAGAUCACCAUCACAAUCCCACGGGAUAGACAUUUACACGGCAUUACUUCUCCUUAGCCCAGACAUAUGUACAGUGAGACAAAACGAUGAGCGCAUCUGCAUCGACGGCAAAGCCCUCAGAGUUAGUAGUUCAUAUCAGUGUCCUUUUUGUGCAGUACAGUACAGAAUACAUCCUAGUAUGUUCAAGUUUCAAACACACUGGUUGUGGAGAACCCUUUCCAGAGAAAUAUAAAAGGAAAUGACUCACACCGGACACAUCCCUAAACCGGAAAUUUGAAGCAGAACGUGCUCCACUCACAGGUUUGUGUCAAAAGUGUAGCAUAUGUUAGCACACUGCCAUAUGCAUCAUUUAUUUUUGCACUGUUAAUCAAUUUUACAUUUUCACUUAGUGCAGGUCAAUGUAAGGAAGAUACUACAGACAUUUAAAUCUUUAUUGUAUAUACUACACUUUUUCACUGCCUGACCAUCAUCUUAAUGUUUAUGCAGGUCAGUGGUUUUUUUUGUGUGUGUGUGUGUUUUUAUUAUUUUUAUAUCUAAAGCACCUUGUUCAGUA